CCUCGCUCUGGCCGCCACCACUCCCUUCCUUUCCUCUUAACCUUUGUCUGUGAGAAAACGUACCAGGCACGUACGACCACCAUGGCACCGCGUCCUCCUCCUCAUCUCCCGCCAAACCAGACCAUCCCCCGCCGUUCCGAGGGCAUCGGAGGAUGCCCCUCGUCGUCCUCUUCAUCUACGUGCAAGGAAUCGACCUGGGAGGCCUUCAAUCGUUGCCGAAUCGCCGUUCCCUUCUCCAACCUUGAGCAGCAAAUUCUUCAAUUCCGGCCAUCUUCGACCUUCCCUACCAUCCCCGACCACAUGUACAUGUUCAGGCUUAUCACCGUCUGUCUCCAGGGACUAUACUACGGUCCAUGGCGCCCCUCACUCGCAUCCCCUUCAAGCUGCGCAUCUAGAUCUCUGUCUCCCGCGCCCUGGUUCCCCCUCAAUCGACCGGUCCGUGCUCCAGCAGGGUCGUCCGCCAUGGCUGGGCUGCACAAGCUCGUCCCCACCUUUUGAUUGCUCUUGUUGGGUCGCAGCAAUAUCUUGAUAAGAUCAGCCUGGCAGCCUAACUGAUCAUCCGCAGAUGGGCCUCGGCCCAGAUCUAUCCGGCGCAGCUCCUUGCCCGCGCGGCCCGUAGCUUCCCGUCGCCGCGU